UUGCGGGAGCAUAAUAUUUUCACAAAACGAGUUCAACUUACAUAUACCAUUUAAUCAAAGUAUGAUUUUAAUUAAAAUAAAAUUAUUUUUUAUAUUUAAAAUAAAUUCCCCUUGCACGGAUUUUAUUACUAGUAUAUUUCUUAUAUGGAAUGAUAUGAAAACUUGGUGCCUAAUCAUUUUAAAUUAGAAAAUACUUUAAAGAGAGUAUUAUUUUAAAAUUAUGAUUUGGGGGUAGUCAUGAAAAAUAUAAAAAAAAAUAUUUAAUCCAACACCCAUAUCCAUUGUAAAACAGACAAGUGCAUAUUGAGAUUUCACAGAAUUAGUAAUCCAACUUAGUCCGACUGAAUUUGUUAUCCUAUCUUAAAUCCGAUUAGAUUUCUAAUCUGUCAAAUUCAAUCUCCAAAAUAAACAUGACCAUAAAUUAUUAAACCAAAUUUGAUUGUAGGACUAUAAUUCGUAGAAUAAGAGUAGUAAGGAUUCUUAAUCACGGGACAUUCAAUGUAAGAAUAAAACUUGUCUCUAAAUUUGGUUGGAGAGAUGAAGAGUGGGGGCUCACAUAAUUUACUACUCAUAACUAGAAUUAGAAAACCCACUAAUAGGAUUUAAUAGCAUUAAAUUGGUUUAAGGAGCUAUAAUCGCACCUUAUGAUUGUACACUAAACACAGGAUAAAUUUCUACAUCUUUGCUUAGUUUAAAAAAUGAAUCGACAAUGCAAAUUAUUUAUCAAAAAAAUGUGAAUGUACUAAACGAAUUAUUAAACUUCUAUAUAUUUGUUUCUUUUUUCUCUCUUUUUCAUUUUUUACUAAAAGGAUAUUGUACUUAGUGCACCAAUCUCCGACUUAAAAGCAAGCAGGGUGAAAAAGUAUCAAAUAGGUA
rnacentral:lncRNA from 1 species